rnacentral:lncRNA from 1 species
CAGAAUGGGAGUUACUGGGAUAUGGAGAAUGAUCUGGAAUUAGAUAGCUAGAAAGGCAAUACAUCUUUGGGAAGGUAGUGAAAAACAUGGAAUUGUACACCUUAAAAGAGAGAGUUUUACUUUAUCUGUAUUGUAUCUCAAUUUAAAAAGAAAGAAAGGAGACAUUCAUAAACAGUUACUUGAGAGAGACCUUUGCUUAUCAGUCUUCACCAUAUGAGGAUCCCUCAGUUCCAUCAAGCCUUCAGGAAGAUGGGACUCCACCUGGCCAGAGUGUCCCCAGAUUCUUCUGGACGAGUCACUCAGUCUCUGAGUAUUGAGGAAAACCAAAUAGAACAAGGCUUCUUUCAUCACAGGAGACUUGACGACCAUCAUCUCUAAAGACAAAACGAAAACACACAGGCUGACAAACAGAACAGCAAACCCCACUUCUGGAACCAGACACUAGACCUCACUUUAACCCUUCAUAACAAGUCCCAAUCUUUACCUGUCUGCUCAGAGGCUUGGGACAGUCCUGAAUGAAUGAGCAGUAGUACCUCCUGCAGCAUGAAUCUCAUCAGGACACAGCAUGCAUCUCCAUGUGGCCAUGGAGCCAGCCAGCCUAGUGCUGUGCAUGGUACAGUAACUCAAGAUGACUAUGGCAGGGAUAAGCAGAGGAAAGAAACAUGAACUCCCAGCUGAAACUGCCCUGAGAACUUUGAAAUCCAUGUGUUCACACUGUCAGUCUGCUGCUUAUCCCAGCUCACUUUAUGGUUUCCUCUCUUGC